GCAUAUCAAUAAGCGGAGGAAAAGAAACUAACAAGGAUUCCCCUAGUAACUGCGAGUGAAGCGGGAAAAGCUCAAAUUUAAAAUCUGGCAGUCUUUGGCUGUCCGAGUUGUAGUCUGGAGAAGCGUUUUCCGCGCUGGACCGUGUAUAAGUCCCUUGGAAUAGGGCGUCAUAGAGGGUGAGAAUCCCGUCUUUGACACGGACUACCAGUGCUUUGUGAUGCGCUCUCAAAGAGUCGAGUUGUUUGGGAAUGCAGCUCAAAAUGGGUGGUAAAUUCCAUCUAAAGCUAAAUAUUGGCGAGAGACCGAUAGCGAACAAGUACCGUGAGGGAAAGAUGAAAAGCACUUUGGAAAGAGAGUUAAACAGUACGUGAAAUUGCUGAAAGGGAAACGCUUGAAGUCAGUCGCGUUAUKCAGAACUCAGCCUGGCUUUUGCUUGGUGUAUUUUCUGUAUGACGGGCCAGCAUCAAUUUUGGCCGCUGGAAAAAGGCUCUAGAAAUGUGGCACCUCCGGGUGUGUUAUAGUCUAGGGUCAUAUACAGCGGCUGGGAUUGAGGUCUGCAGCACGCCUUUAUGGCUGGGGUUCGCCCACAUUCGUGCUUAGGAUGCUGGCGUAAUGGCUUUAAACGACCCGUCUUGAAACACGGACCAAGGAGUCUAACAUGCCUGCGAGUGUUUGGGUGGAAAACCCGAGCGCGUAAUGAAAGUGAAAGUUGAGAUCCCUGUCGUGGGGAGCAUCGACGCCCGGACCAGACCUUUUGUGACGGAUCUGCGGUAGAGCAUGUAUGUUGGGACCCGAAAGAUGGUGAACUAUGCCUGAAUAGGGUGAAGCCAGAGGAAACUCUGGUGGAGGCUCGUAGCGAUUCUGACGUGCAAAUCGAUCGUCAAAUUUGGGUAUAGGGGCGAAAGACUAAUUCGAACCCUUUUGCCC
rnacentral:rRNA from 1 species